GAUGAACGCUGGCGGCGUGCUUAACACAUGCAAGUCGAACGGAAAGGCCCAAGCUUGCUUGGGUACUCGAGUGGCGAACGGGUGAGUAACACGUGGGUGAUCUGCCCUGCACUUCGGGAUAAGCCUGGGAAACUGGGUCUAAUACCGGAUAGGACAUCUUCUUGGAUGUUGUGGUGGAAAGAUUUAUCGGUGUGGGAUGAGCUCGCGGCCUAUCAGCUUGUUGGUGGGAUAAUGGCAUACCAAGGCGUCAACGGGUAGCCGGACUGAGAGGGUGUACGGCGACAUUGGGACUUAGGUACGGCCCAGGCUCCUACGGGAGGCAGCAGGGGGGAAUAUUGAACAAGGGGCGCAAGCCUGAUGCAGAGGCGCCGCGGGGGGGAGGACGGCCUUAGGGUUGUAAACUCCUUUCGCUAGGGACGAAGCGUUUUGUGACGGUACCUGGAGAAGAAGCACCGGCUAACUACGUG
rnacentral:rRNA from 1 species